UGGGGCUGCCUUGUGCACCGAAUCAGUGAUCGGGCAGCGUAAUACAAAGAGGGAACGCUUGAUCAUCUGAGCUGGUUUUGUACAGAAUGUCAGAGAGUAAUGUGGAUAGCAUCCAGAUAUCUGUUAGUAACGAUGAGAGGAGGAAUAGGGCAUAUGCCGAGAUCUCGGAGGACGAGCCGAGGCAGACCAGGAUGCGAUCACUGAAGAAGAAAGCCUUGCAUGCAUCGACAAGACUCACACACUCCCUGAAGAAGAGGGGGGAAGAGAAAAGUGGACUACAGAGUGCCAAGGAUAGCUAUAGAAGAUGUCAGGGAUGCUGAAGAAGAGCAGGCAGUGAACUCGUUUCGGUAGGUUUUGUUUGCUAGGGGCUUGCUACCAGUCAAGCAUGAUAAUUCCCACACGAUGCUUAGAUUGAGAUCUGACACAUGAGGAAAUAUGCUCAUAUUGUUAUUUUCAGCUAUAUAAUGUCAGUUGUUUAUUUUUA